rnacentral:misc_RNA from 1 species
CCCCAGUCUCUGCCCCA